UGGGGAAUCUUGCGCAAUGGGCGAAAGCCUGACGCAGCGACGCCGCGUGAGUGAUGAAGGCCUUCGGGUUGUAAAGCUCUGUGGGGAGAGAAGAAUUAGUGUGGGCUAAUCACCACAUGAUGACGGUAUCUCCUUAGCAAGCACCGGCUAACUCUGUGCCAGCAGCCGCGGUAAGACAGAGGGUGCAAACGUUGUUCGGAAUUACUGGGCGUAAAGCGAGUGUAGGCGGUCUUGUAAGUCGGAUGUGAAAGCCCCGGGCUCAACCCGGGAAGUGCACUCGAUACUGCAAGACUUGAGUACCGGAGAGGUUGGUGGAAUUCUCGGUGUAGAGGUGAAAUUCGUAGAUAUCGAGAGGAACACCGGUGGCGAAGGCGGCCAACUGGACGAGUACUGACGCUGA
rnacentral:rRNA from 1 species